rnacentral:rRNA from 1 species
GACGAACGCUGGCGGCGUGCUUAACACAUGCAAGUCGAACGAUGAACCCGGAGCUUGCUCUGGGGGAUUAGUGGCGAACGGGUGAGUAACACGUGAGUAACCUGCCCUGGACUCUGGUAUAAGCGUUGGAAACGACGUCUAAUACCGGAUAGGACCUUGGAUCGCAUGAUCUGGGGUGGAAAGUUUUUUCGGUCUGGGAUGGACUCGCGGCCUAUCAGCUUGUUGGUGAGGUAAUGGCUCACCAAGGCGUCGACGGGUAGCCGGCCUGAGAGGGUGACCGGCCACACUGGGACUGAGACACGGCCCAGACUCCUACGGGAGGCAGCAGUGGGGAAUAUUGCACAAUGGGCGAAAGCCUGAUGCAGCAACGCCGCGUGCGGGAUGACGGCCUUCGGGUUGUAAACCGCUUUUAGUAGGGAAGAAGGGCUUCGGCUUGACGGUACCUGCAGAAAAAGGACCGGCUAACUACGUG